AGUUCAGUUGGUUAGAACGCUAGCCUGUCACGCUAGAGGUCGUGGGUUCGAGCCCCAUC
rnacentral:tRNA from 1 species